UACAGAGGUGGCAAGCGUUGUUCGGAAUUACUGGGCGUAAAGGGCGCGUAGGCGGGCCGCAAAGUCAGGGGUGAAAGGCCUCCAGCUCAACUGGAGAAGUGCCUCUGAUACUGGCGGCCUCGAGGGAGAUAGGGGCGUGCGGAACUUCCGGUGGAGCGGUGAAAUGCGUAGAUAUCGGAAGGAACACCGGUGGCGAAAGCGGCGCGCUGGAUCUCUUCUGACGCUGAGGCGCGAAAGCCAGGGGAGCGAACGGG
rnacentral:rRNA from 1 species